rnacentral:rRNA from 1 species
CACUAUGGCCAUGCCAACCUGAACACACCAGAUCUCGUCUGAUCUCGGAAGCUAAGUAGGGUCAGGCCUAGUUAGUACUUGGAUGGGAGACCACCUAGGAGUACCAGGUGCAUAGGCU